GUGCUGAUGAUGGCUGCCAAAAUCAGAGGACUUGGGAAAUUGAACAACUUUCUUGAGAAUGAUAUUCAGUUGAGCAUCAGAAAUUGGAGGUC